ensembl:lncRNA
UUUUCUCUUGGCCACAGAGACUCAAACUGAAGCAUUUCUCACAUCUCCUUGUCAAGACUCAAGAUUGAGAGCUUAUCAUUCAGAACUUGACGGGAGACAGAAUACAACUAUAAUUUCAUGGCGAACCCAAACCCCAGAAGUGACUGCUCAGACUCAGAGAAGUCUCAUAUGAAAAUAAAUUCCCCAGAGAGCCUCUCAAGGGGUGAUCUCCCUAAUUCCCACACCUUUCACCAAAAGACCAAAACCCCCUUCAGAGGUUACAUCUGUCGCCGGGAGACGACAACCUUCUAUGAAGGAUGUGUUGUGGGUUCUUCAAUCAACAACCUCCCCCCUGUGGAAGAACCAGAGGACACACAAAGUCUAGGAAGAUACAUGGGCCACAACUCUCGCACUAAGGACAACCCCAACCUGGUGUGUGCACCAAAUACUGGCGUUGAAGAGGAUGAGGACACAGACUCAGACAGCAAAGGAGCAGGAGCUGAUCAAAUUGUUACUGACAAUGACCAGCAGAUAAACAAGAAUUCAACAUUCAGGGGGCAACGGAUUGACCACGUGGCUGGCUGGCCAGUAAUUCAGCCUGUCAGUCCUAAACUCACUCAGGAACAAGCAGCAGAAGAGAGGAACAAGGAGGAGAGAAAGGAGGAAAGCAAAAGCAGUGAGGAUGAGGAUAAGGAAGCUGAUAAACAAAUUGAAAAUGGUGAAAACCAAGAUGAAGGCUUGCUAAUGGGAUCAACUGAACAAGAAAAAAAGGACGUGGAGAUCAAGAACAACAAAGACAUGGAGAGUAAUAAAAAAGAGUAUGUGGAGCUUUAUGCACAAAUCCAGGUGUAUGAAAGAUCUGAUGACACCAGGCUACCUGAUUCCACUGAGGACAAGGGAAAACAGAACAGUGAGAGUCACAAGGAGAAGGAAGAAAUACAAAUCAAUGAAGAGCCUCAGGACGCUGAUAAACAAAGCCAUGGCUAUGACAAAGACGAUGCCCUCCAGCUCCGAGAUCCACCUGAGGAAAACUUCCAGCUGGGCAGCAGAUCCCCUCCUCAUCCAGCUCAGGUCCUGUGUGAAGAACAGUGUACAUGUGAGGACCUGCCUGCCUGUAAACCACUAGGAAAUACAGAAGUCACCCAAGUCCCAGAGAUGCCAGCGAUGCUCCCAGAAGAUGAACCUGCUGAGGGAUUGAACUCCGGACCUUGCACUUUCGAGGCAGGCACCAGAACCACUGAGCUAAAUCGCCAGCCCCCACAGUUUAUUCUCUAUAAGGACAAAAUGGGGAGCAACUUGGAUUGUGACCUAAAGUUCUUGUCUGCAGAUGGAUUCUGUGAGGAAAUCAAGGUGUGGUUCUGGGAUCAAAAUCAUUGAGAGGAACAAUGUGAGUCACCAUUCUGUCUGGGAGGCAGCCAAGUAUCUCGUUAAUAGGGACUCACAACUAAGAAUUUGCCUUAAAUCUCAGAGGAGGCUUCGGACUUGGACUUUUCAGCAGUGCUAAAACUGUUAGGACUUUGGCAACUCUUGGAGAUGGACUAAAUGCUUUUUUUUGUAUAAAGGGAUAUGCACGAGUCUUUGGGGGGCCAGGGGCAGAAUGUUAUGGCUUGUGUCUAGAUAUCCCCCCAAAGUCUCAUGCUUUUUCUGAGGUGGUUGAAUCUACCGUGUGUGGUGCUGGGAGUAAAGGGCAUGUGAUUACUAAACCACAUAAGUGAUUGGUUUGGCACUACCUUAAUCCCUGUAGUCUGGAUGAAAUAAAAGGGGCAGAAAGACACUGUUAAAGUCUCUUGUUGCUUUUGCUGUCUUCUGCCUCCAUGAGCUGUUGCCCUUCUGCCAUCCUGCCUUGGAGCUAGCCGAUUAUGGACUGAAACCUCUACAAACUGUAAGCCAAAUAAACCUUUUCCC